rnacentral:rRNA from 1 species
GGGCGCACGGUGGAUGCCUUGGCACUAGAAGCCGAUGAAGGACGUUACUAACGACGAUAUGCUUUGGGUAGCUGUAAGUAAGCGUUGAUCCAGAGAUUUCCGAAUGGGGGAACCCAGCACAAGUUAUGUUGUGUUAUCGACAUGUGAAUACAUAGCAUGUCCGAAGGCAGACGCGGAGAACUGAAACAUCUUAGUACCCGCAGGAAGAGAAAGAAAAAUCGAUUCCCUGAGUAGCGGCGAGCGAAACGGGAAGAGCCCAAACCAAUGAGCUUGCUCAUUGGGGUUGUAGGACACUCUAUACGGAGUUACAAAGGAAUAAAUUAGACGAAUCACCUGGAAAGUUGAACCAGAGAAGGUAAAAGUCCUGUAGUCGAAAGUUUAUUCUCUCUUGAGUGGAUCCUGAGUACGACGGAGCACGUGGAAUUCCGUCGGAAUCCGGGAGGACCAUCUCCCAAGGCUAAAUACUCUCUAGUGACCGAUAGUGAACCAGUACCGUGAGGGAAAGGUGAAAAGUACCCCGGAAGGGGAGUGAAAGAGAACUUGAAACCGUGUGCUUACAAGUAGUCAGAGCCCGUUAAUGGGUGAUGGCGUGCCUUUUGUAGAAUGAACCGGCGAGUUACGAUCUGAUGCAAGGUUAAGCAGCAAAUGCGGAGCCGCAGCGAAAGCGAGUCUGAACAGGGCGUUGAGUAUUUGGUCGUAGACCCGAAACCAGGUGAUCUACCCUUGGUCAGGUUGAAGUUCAGGUAACACUGAAUGGAGGACCGAACCGACUUACGUUGAAAAGUGAGCGGAUGAACUGAGGGUAGCGGAGAAAUUCCAAUCGAACCUGGAGAUAGCUGGUUCUCUCCGAAAUAGCUUUAGGGCUAGCCUCAAGUGAUGAUUGUUGGAGGUAGAGCACUGUUUGGACGAGGGGCCCCUCUCGGGUUACCGAAUUCAGACAAACUCCGAAUGCCAAUCAAUUUAACUUGGGAGUCAGAACGUGGGUGAUAAGGUCCAUGUUCGAAAGGGAAACAGCCCAGACCACCAGCUAAGGUCCCAAAAUAUAUGUUAAGUGGCAAAGGAUGUGGUAUUGCCCAGACAACUAGGAUGUUGGCUUAGAAGCAGCCAUCAUUUAAAGAGUGCGUAAUAGCUCACUAGUCGAGUGACACUGCGCCGAAAAUGUACCGGGGCUAAACAUAUUACCGAAGCUGUGGAUUGUCCGUAGGACAAUGGUAGGAGAGCGUUCUAAGUGCGUCGAAGCAUGAUCGCAAGGACAUGUGGAGCGCUUAGAAGUGAGAAUGCCGGUGUGAGUAGCGAAAGAUGGGUGAGAAUCCCAUCCACCGAUUGACUAAGGUUUCCAGAGGAAGGCUCGUCCGCUCUGGGUUAGUCGGGUCCUAAGUCGAGGCCGACAGGCGUAGACGAUGGAUAACAGGUUGAUAUUCCUGUACCACCAUUUAUCGUUUUAAGCGAUGGGGGGACACAGUAGGAUAGGCGAAGCGUGCUGUUGGAGUGCACGUCUAAGCAGUGAGACUGAAUGGUAGGCAAAUCCGCCAUUCUCAAGGUUGAGCUGUGAUGGGGAGAGGAAACAUGUUUUCCUCGAGUCGUUGAUUUCACACUGUCGAGAAAAGCCUCUAGCUAGAUAACUGGUGCCCGUACCGCAAACCGACACAGGUAGUCAAGAUGAGAAUUCUAAGGUGAGCGAGAGAACUCUCGUUAAGGAACUCGGCAAAAUGACCCCGUAACUUCGGGAGAAGGGGUGCUCUUUAGGGUUCACGCUCUGAAGAGCCGCAGUGAAUAGGCCCAAGCGACUGUUUAUCAAAAACACAGGUCUCUGCUAAACCGUAAGGUGAUGUAUAGGGGCUGACGCCUGCCCGGUGCUGGAAGGUUAAGAGGAGUGGUUAGCUUCUGCGAAGCUACGAAUCGAAGCCCCAGUAAACGGCGGCCGUAACUAUAACGGUCCUAAGGUAGCGAAAUUCCUUGUCGGGUAAGUUCCGACCCGCACGAAAGGCGUAACGAUUUGGGCACUGUCUCAACGAGAGACUCGGUGAAAUCA